GUGAGGAAUAUUGGUCAAUGGGCGGAAGCCUGAACCAGCCAUCCCGCGUGGAGGAAGACGGCCCUAUGGGUUGUAAACUUCUUUUCAAGGGGAAGAAAGUUCGCGACGUGUCGCGAUUUGCCGGUACCUUUGGAAUAAGCAUCGGCUAACUCCGUGCCAGCAGCCGCGGUAAUACGGAGGAUGCGAGCGUUAUCCGGAUUUAUUGGGUUUAAAGGGUGCGUAGGCCGAUCGAUAAGUCAGCGGUGAAAUACCAUGGCCCAACCAUGGAACUGCCGUUGAUACUGUCGGUCUUGAAGAUGGUAAAGGUAGGCGGAAUCUGUCAUGUAGCGGCGAACUGCCUAUAUAGUACACAGAACACCGAUUGCGAAGGCAGCUUACUGGUUCAUUAUUGACGCUGAGGCACGAAAGCGUAGGGAUCGAACAGGAUUAGAUACCCGUGUAUUCC
rnacentral:rRNA from 1 species